rnacentral:rRNA from 1 species
UACGAAGGGGGCUAGCGUUGUUCGGAAUUACUGGGCGUAAAGCGUAUGCAGGCGGAUCGUUAAGUCGGGGGUGAAAUCCCGAGGCUCAACCUCGGAACUGCCUUCGAUACUGGAGAGCUCGAGUCCGGGAGAGGUGAGUGGAACUGCGAGUGUAGAGGUGAAAUUCGUAGAUAUUCGCAAGAACACCAGUGGCGAAGGCGGCUCACUGGCCCGGUACUGACGCUGAGGUGCGAAAGCGUGGGGAGCAAACAGG